GACGAACCACACGAACGUUAUUCGGAAUCACUGGGCUUAAAGGGUGCGUAGGCGGCGCGGAAAGUAGGGUGUGAAAUCCCUCGGCUCAACCGAGGAACUGCGCUCUAAACUACCGUGCUCGAGGGAGGUAGAGGUGAGCGGAACUUAGGGUGGAACGGUGAAAUGUGUUGAUAUCCUAAGGAACACCGGUGGCGAAAGCGGCUCACUGGAUCUCUUCUGACGCUGAGGCACGAAAGCUAGGGGAGCAAACGGG
rnacentral:rRNA from 1 species